UCCGCAUGGGCAGGAGAAGUCUUCAGGGUGUGUUUGCUGGAUUAACGACAGGUCGAUGCCAAUACAGGACACCCCUGCAGGAAUGGGACAAUGCAGGAUGGCUGCUGGGUGGGAUCACAGCUCCACACUUCGGAGGAGGAAGACUUUGUGUCAGUCUCCAGUGAUCCCUCACCUGGACCCCUAUCUUUCCUCAAACACCUCUGCUUCCUGCCUCUGUCCCUUUUGGAACUAAAGGCCUGUUCCUCAGCCAAAGUCCAGAAUCCUUUCUUCUCAAGCAUGAGUCCCCUGCCCUCCAGUUGCUUGGCCCAGUAAGGAAGUCAGAGAAGGAAACAGGCAACUGCAAUCAAGUGACAUGAAUGCCAGUGGUGUGGCGUAGGUGCAGCCUAGCCAUGGGAUGGGCAGGUCACGAAGGCAGGGAGACAUGCUGUUCAGAGCAUCAGAGAUUUCACGAAGGGCAAGCUUCAGUGGGGUGUCCAGCAAGCAGAUAUUUGCCUCUACUUGUUUACAUGUGACCUCCUGGGCAGGGUCUGUGAUGUAGGCGGGCCUGCACCCUCACUGCCUAGCACAGAAUUAUGUAUUGAUA
rnacentral:lncRNA from 1 species